UGAAGUCGAACGAGAAGUACGUAGCAAUACGUAUUGUAAAGUGGCGCACGGGUGAGUAACACGUGGGUAAUCUGCCCUUGAGUUUGGGAUAACCCCGCGAAAGCGGGGCUAAUACCGAAUAAGACCACGGGGACCAAAGUCCCUGAGGUAAAAGGUGGCCUCUAUUUAUAAGCUACCACUUAAGGAUGAGCCCGCGGCCCAUUAGCUAGUUGGCAGGGUAAUGGCCUACCAAGGCAAUGAUGGGUAGCUGGUCUGAGAGGACGAUCAGCCACACUGGAACUGAGACACGGUCCAGACUCCUACGGGAGGCAGCAGUGGGGAAUAUUGCGCAAUGGGCGAAAGCCUGACGCAGCAACGCCGCGUGGGGGAUGAAGGUUUUCGGAUUGUAAACCCCUUUCGACCGGAACGAAUCUCCUCCUGGUAAAUAAUCAGGAGGAUCGACGGUACCGGGAGAAGAAGCCACGGCUAACUCUGUGCCAGCAGCCGCGGUAAGACAGAGGUGGCAAGCGUUGUUCGGAUUUAUUGGGCGUAAAGCGAACGCAGGCGGUUUGGUAAGUCAGGGGUGAAAGACCACAGCUUAACUGUGGUAUUGCCUUUGAUACUGCCUUUCUUGAGUGGAGUAGGGGGAAGCGGAAUUCCGAGUGUAGAGGUGAAAUUCGUAGAUAUUCGGAGGAACACCGGUGGCGAAGGCGGCUUCCUGGACUCUAACUGACGCUCAUGUUCGAAAGCGUGGGUAGCAAACAGGAUUAGAUACCCUGGUAGUCCACGCCCUAAACGAUGGGCACUAGUGUGGGAGGUAUCGACCCCUUCCGUG
rnacentral:rRNA from 1 species